AGCGAACGCUGGCGGCAGGCCUAACACAUGCAAGUCGAACGAUCCUUCGGGAUAGUGGCGGACGGGUGAGUAACACGUGGGAACGUGCCCUUUGGUUCGGAACAACUCAGGGAAACUUGAGCUAAUACCGGAUGUGCCCUUCGGGGGAAAGAUUUAUCGCCAUUGGAGCGGCCCGCGUCUGAUUAGCUAGUUGGUGAGGUAACGGCUCACCAAGGCGACGAUCAGUAGCUGGUCUGAGAGGAUGAUCAGCCACACUGGGACUGAGACACGGCCCAGACUCCUACGGGAGGCAGCAGUGGGGAAUCUUGCGCAAUGGGCGAAAGCCUGACGCAGCCAUGCCGCGUGAAUGAUGAAGGUCUUAGGAUUGUAAAAUUCUUUCACCGGGGUCGAUAAUGACGGUACCCGGAGAAGAAGCCCCGGCUAACUUCGUGCCAGCCGCCGCAGUAAGAC
rnacentral:rRNA from 1 species